rnacentral:lncRNA from 1 species
GGCACGGAGAGGCAAGGGCCUCCUCCAACCACAGCUACCUGGUUUCCUGCUCUAAAUAAGUAGUGGAUCCAGUUGGACCUGAAAAUACAUUGCCUGGAGUCAGUUGUUCCUGAGCCACUUCUGAUAGCAACAGCUGUCGAGUGGGGCUGAAAGACGAAGGCCUGGUUCCUCUGUGACUUGGAAGUUCUACCACCACAUCAGUGUCACAGUACCUAGGACUCUGUGGGACUUUGGGCACCAGAUCCCUUUCUCCAGGGGACAGAGAGAGGCGUCCACUGCUCCUACUGCAGAAAGAAAAAUCCCAAAGGAAGCAGUCAUAAAAUACGAAAGAC